AGCAGCCGCGGUAAUUCCAGCUCCAAUAGCGUAUAUUAAAGUUGUUGCAGUUAAAAAGCUCGUAGUUGAACUUCGGGGUCUACCCAUUGGUCAGGCUUAAUUGUCUGCACUGGUGAGAUGGAUCUCUACCUACUGAGGAACUUUCAUGCCAUUUAUUUGGUGUGGUUGGAAAUCAGGACUGUUACUUUGAAAAAAUUAGAGUGUUUAAAGCAGACUAUCGUCUGAAUACAUUAGCAUGGAAUAAUGAAAUAGGACGGACUGAUUCUAUUUCGUUGGUUUCUAGGAUCACCGUAAUGAUUAAUAGGGAUAGUUGGGGGCAUUAGUAUUCAAUUGUCAGAGGUGAAAUUCUUGGAUUUAUUGAAGACUAACUACUGCGAAAGCAUUUGCCAAGGAUGUUUUCAUUAAUCAAGAACGAAAGUUAGGGGAUCGAAGACGAUCAGAUACCGUCGUAGUCUUAACCAUAAACUAUGCCGACUAGGGAUCGGACGAAGU
rnacentral:rRNA from 1 species